GACGAACGCUGGCGGCGUGCUUAACACAUGCAAGUCGAACGGAAAGGCCCUGCUUUUGUGGGGUGCUCGAGUGGCGAACGGGUGAGUAACACGUGAGUAACCUGCCCUUGACUUUGGGAUAACUUCAGGAAACUGGGGCUAAUACCGGAUAGGAGCUCCUGCUGCAUGGUGGGGGUUGGAACGUUUCGGCGGUUGGGGAUGGACUCGCGGCUUAUCAGCUUGUUGGUGGGGUAGUGGCUUACCAAGGCUUUGACGGGUCGCCGGCCUGAGAGGGUGACCGGCCACAUUGGGACUGAGAGACGGCCCAGACUGCUACGGGAGGCAGCAGUGGGGAAUAUUGCACAAUGGGCGGAAGCCUGAUGCAGCAACGCCGCGUGCGGGAUGACGGCCUUCGGGUUGUAAACCGCUGUCGCCUGUGACGAAGCGUGAGUGACGGUAAUGGGUAAAGAAGCACCGGCUAACUACGUG
rnacentral:rRNA from 1 species